GGUUGAUCCUGCCAGUAGCAUAUGCUUGUCUCAAAGAUUAAGCCAUGCAUGUCUAAGUAUAAACAACUUUAUACUGUUGAAACUGCGUACAGCUCAUUAAAUCAGUGAUAAUUUAUUUGAAGAUAGUUAACUACAUGGAUACCCGUAGUAAUUCUAGAGCUAAUACAUGAUAAAUCUGCUUGUAAAAGAGUAGAGUGUUUAUUAGAUUUUAACCAAUACAUUUGUUUUGGUGAGUGCUAGUAACCAAAGUGACCUCUCUGUUGAGAGGCGGUUCAUUCAAAUUUCUGCCCUAU
rnacentral:rRNA from 1 species